rnacentral:misc_RNA from 1 species
AUCGGCUCCUCCGCUACACGCACACACGCACGCCGCCCAUUCGUGCGUCGGCACCGUCUGUGCGUCGCAGCGCCGUUCUUGUUUUGCUGACUUCGCCCUCGUUCUAUUCGUUGGUCACGCCCCUCCCACCAUCAUCCCUCGAGCACACAGACGUGCUCAGAUCGGCUGGGCGGUGCUAUGCGUCUCGCCGCAGCAAUCACAGGGCCACAGCUCCCCGGCGGUCCUUGACACGGCGUCGCCGACCUUGCCCUCGAUGCUGUGCGCACGGGAAGGCAGAGAGGCGUUCAGCCACAACCUGAAAAGCGCCGGCACUUGUGUUGUGCCGGACAAGUCACCUCACAGCGGCGACGGCAGCGCCACUGCAGGGAGCACGGAUGCAGGCACAAGAGAUGGUAGCGGCUGUUUUGCAUGCCUCUGUCACUCUUUCCACUGUCGUCUCUCCGCCGACGAAACCGCCGCCGCUGCCCAACAGCUCACAACGCCAACGACCAAGUACGAGCAGCUGAUAUGCGAGCUGGCCAUGUGGGAGCGCGAGCUUCGGCAGCAGCUCGUGCGCCAUGAGCAGGAAGAGCUGAUACAGAUGGUGUUGGGUGAGGAAAAGACAUUGUUCCCCGCCAUGGCGGCCCUCCGCGACGCGAACACCCUUAGCUUGAUGGAGGAGGAGGCGCUGUGGCGUUGGGGCAUACAAAAAGAUUACCAUCACUUUCUCCACGACGUGAUGCAGGUGCUGGAGGUGCUGCACCGCCGCUCUUUGGCCUUCGCCGAGGAGCCCCGGUGCCGCAAGCAGAUUGAAAACUCCGAAGGGCAACACUGGAUUGCGGCGCGGCGGCGGCAGGUGAUGCGCGAGACGCAGGAAGCCGCCGCGGCGGAAAAGGAGGACCGAGUGAUGCGCCUGGCAUACUUUGCGCACAUCCAGCGGCAGCUCUACCAGAUCUUCUUGCUGGAGGAAAGUGAGCGGGAUGACCGGAUGGAGGUGGAGCGGCUGCAGCGGCUGUAUGCCGGUAGCCUUGUGGCGGCGAUGGCGAAGGAGUACCGCCACGCGCGUCUCUGUCAGCUGAAGUAUGAGGCAAGGCGUUUUGAACUGCAACCCGAGGUCACGCGUGACAUGAUCGCUGACGAGGCUCUGCAUCGCUCGUGGCUGUGCCAGGACCAGGCGCUGAGCUUCAAGAAGAUGCAGGCGGAUGAGAUCCGAAGCUACCUCGCCUCCGCCCGGCAAGAGCUUCUCAACCAACGCGUGGAGGAAGGCUGAUCUGGCGAUGGCACGUGCAGCAACAACUCUGUUGCCCACCGUUCAGCGUCCUCAACCUCCUUCUCAUGCGCGUCCGCAUACACGCACGGCAUCCUUGAGCCGUGCGGCUUCCGAAGUCUUCUCUCGCCGACGUGCUUCCUUCUUCCGUAAUGUGUUUACUUUCCUCUGUGUACAUAGCCGUGGCGUCUCGGCGACGCCUUCUCUUUCUCGGUCUCUCGGUCGACGAUGUGCCUUUCUCGCUGUGCCGUCAUCGCCGCGGGGUGCGACGCUCUCUCGUUGCUGUGAUCUGGAGAGAGGCGCGCAGCACACACACGCAUCUGUCUCUCUCUCUCCGUCUCCCCUUGUGGUCAGAAGGGGGUCGCUGGCGAUGUAGGCGCUUCAUGCGAGUCCAACAGCGUGCGUGUGGCGUGUACGGGUUAUUACGCGAGUGGAAGAAGGCAAACCCUCGUCUUCCUUCCGCAGCGUUCGUUCUGUUCUGUUUCGGAGCGACCUGCGACGACACACACGUUGGCGCCGUCCACAUCAUGGGCGGGGUGUCGGCGUGACUCAGGUGUAUGCCACCCCCAGCCCUGACUGCCCUGCUGGUGGGGUGGGGGGAAGCCCGAGGAGCAUGGAGUGGGCAGAGCUUGCGGCAGGGGCGCUGCUGCGGUGACGGAUUCGGCGCACUGCUGUACCGCGCGUGUCUGGCGGCUGCCUCGCACUGGAUGGCGGGGGCGUGUGACGGAUGCUGCACGGCCGCGGACUGGACGCGUUGGAAAGUACCUCACAUAUGGAAUGGGCUCUUGGAAACGAUGGGAGCGCAGCGGAGAGGUGCUGCGAGUCCUACGGCCCCGCCCGACGCCCCCUCCUCCGCCGCCGCCAUCACCGCUUUAUCCCCAUUUCUUCUCUCUCAACUUACGACACACAG